rnacentral:rRNA from 1 species
UACGUAGGGGGCGAGCGUUGUCCGGAAUGAUUGGGCGUAAAGGGCGUGUAGGCGGUCUGGAAAGUCUGGAGUGAAAGUCCCGUUUUCAAGAUGGGAAUUGCUCUGGAAACUUUUAGACUUGAGUGCAGGAGAGGUUAUCGGAAUUCCCGGUGUAGCGGUGAAAUGCGUAGAGAUCGGGAGGAACACCAGUGGCGAAGGCGGGUAACUGGACUGCAACUGACGCUGAGGCGCGAAAGUGUGGGGAGCAAAC